UACGAGGGGUCGAGCGUUGUUCGGAAUUAUUGGGCGUAAAGGGCGCGUAGGCGGCGUGUCAAGUCAGGCGUGAAAGCCCCGGGCUCAACCUGGGAACCGCGCUUGAGACUGGCAUGCUCGAGUUCGGGAGAGGAUGGUGGAAUUCCCAGUGUAGAGGUGAAAUUCGUAGAUAUUGGGAAGAACACCGAUGGCGAAGGCAGCCAUCUGGACCGACACUGACGCUGAGGCGCGAAAGCGUGGGGAGCAACAGG
rnacentral:rRNA from 1 species